AUGGGAGAAGUUGCUUACAAGUUGGAAUUGCUCAAAGGAUUGUCAGAAGUUCACGAUGUGUUCCACGUUUCUCAGUUGAAGAAGUGCCACGCAGAGAUGGCUGAUAUUCCUCCGAGAGAUACAUUGCCACUGGAAGCGAUUCAGUUGGAUAGCGACUUGACCUACGAGGAGAAACCAGUCAAGAUUCUUGAUUUUGCCAGCCGAGUCACACACAGCAAGGUUAUCAAGUUUUGUAAGGUUCAGUGGAGCCACCAUACUGAGGAUGAAGCCACCUGGGAACGAAGAGGAAGACCUACGGAAGGAUCACCCUCACCUAUUUUCUAG
rnacentral:rRNA from 1 species